rnacentral:rRNA from 1 species
UAAGGAAUAUUGGUCAAUGGGCGGAAGCCUGAACCAGCCAUGCCGCGUGCAGGAUGACUGCCCUAUGGGUUGUAAACUGCUUUUGUCCAGGAAUAAACCUAGAUACGUGUAUCUAGCUGAAUGUACUGGAAGAAUAAGGAUCGGCUAACUCCGUGCCAGCAGCCGCGGUAAUACGGAGGAUCCGAGCGUUAUCCGGAUUUAUUGGGUUUAAAGGGUGCGUAGGCGGCCUAUUAAGUCAGGGGUGAAAUACGGUGGCUCAACCAUCGCAGUGCCUUUGAUACUGAUGGGCUUGAAUCCAUUUGAAGUGGGCGGAAUAAGACAAGUAGCGGUGAAAUGCAUAGAUAUGUCUUAGAACUCCGAUUGCGAAGGCAGCUCACUAAGCUGGUAUUGACGCUGAUGCACGAAAGCGUGGGGAUCGAACAGGAUUAGAUACCCUGGUAGUCCACGCCCUAAACGAUGAUAACUCGAUGUUGGCGAUAGACAGCCAGCGUCCAAGCGAAAGCGUUAAGUUAUCCACCUGGGGAGUACGCCCGCAAGGGUGAAACUCAAAUGAAUUGACGGGGUCAUAGCGUUUCCUG